GGGGAUUUAGCUCAGUGGUAAAGCUCUUGCCUAUCAAGCACAAGGCCCUGGGUUCGGUCCCCAGCUCCA
rnacentral:tRNA from 1 species